UCCGAGUUAACCUCGGCAGUCUCGCUAUAGUUCCCGCCAUUACGCGCUGGUAAAUAACGAUAAGGGUUGCGCUCGUUGCUGGACUUAACCAAACACCUCACGGCACGAGCUGACGACAGCCAUGCAGCACCUAUAUAGAGACCUUGCGGCGAUACAAUUUCUUGCAUCUUCCUCUACAUUUCGAGCCCAGGUAAGGUUCUUCGCGUUGCAUCGAAUUAAACCACAUGCUCCACUGCUUGUGCGGGCCCCCGUCAAUUCUUUUGAGUUUCACCCUUGCGAGCGUACUCCCCAGGCGGUAUACUUAUCGCGUUAGCUCCGAAACAGAAGGGGUUGAAGCCUCCUACUUCUAGUAUACAUCGUUUACGGUAUGGACUAC
rnacentral:misc_RNA from 1 species